CAUGUAUCUUGUCCUCAUGCUCACCAACAAAAUGGAUCUGCUGAAAGAAAGCACCGUCACAUAGUUGAUAUGGGGCUUGCCUUGUUAGCAAAUGCUUCCAUGCCGCUUAAAUUUUGGGAUGAAGCAUUCUUAAUUGCUACAUAUCUCAUCAACUUGCUUCCAAGUAAAGUUAUCAAAUUUGAAACACCCAUUACACGACUUCUUGGUGUCACACCCAACUAUACAUCUCUUCGUAUUUUUGGUUGUGCCUGUUGGCCUAAUCUUAGGCCUUACAACACACGCAAACUCGCUUUCCGCUCAAAACAGUGUGUCUUUUUAGGCUAUAGCCCCAUGCAUAAAGGGGUCAAGUGCCUUGAUGUUCCUACUGGCCGGGUGUAUAUAUCCAGAGAUGUUGUAUUUGAUGAGUCCGUGUUUCCCUUUGCAUCCCUUCAUCCUAAUGCUGGUGCACUUCUCCGCAAAGAAAUUCUUCUUCUUCCUUCACAUCUUCGGUCUUUUGAUCAUGGGGGCGACAACAAUUGUACUAACCAAUGUGAUGAUAUUCCUGCUGGUACUGGUCUUUCUCUUAUGCCUGUACAUGUCCCUGGAGAAAACGGUGCUCAAAAUGACCAAGAUCUCGAAAAUAUGGCUGGUUUUGAUCCUAUAUUUCAUGCUGAGGAAGGAGACGAAGCUGGCACAGAUGACGAAGAAGAUCUGGCGGCGCCUGCCACCCCUGCACGCGCGCAGAUCUCGGAUCACGCGACCGCAUCCGCCUCGGAUCGAGCCCCUGAUGGCUCCAGUCCUGGAUCCAGGGCGGGCCACUCCCGUGCUGCCGCGUCAGCUUCAGGCGGGACCAGCAGCGGGGCCGAAUCCCCCUCGCCCCGCGCGCCAGCGUCAGGCGGGACCAGCGGCGGUACCAGAUCCUCCCCGCACCACACGCGCGUCCAGUCGCGUUCGGGUGGCGGAUCCUCUGCGCCGGUGCCUGCAGGAGGGGCAGCCACACCAGAAGCCACAGGAUCCCCUGCGCAUAUGACGACAAAUCAGUCCACUGCAUCAGCAGAUUCUCCUGGAUCUUCUGUGGCAAGUAUACCAACGGUGCAGCGAGAGGUUUCUUCACGUGUUAUGACCCGGCUACAGAAAGGUAUACGGAAUCCUAAAAUUAGCAAAGAUGGAACUAUACCAUAUGGAAUGUUGUGUAUUUCAGGAGAACCAACAUCGUUGAAGAGUGCACUUGAUGAUCCUAAAUGGAAAAAGGCAAUGGAUGAGGAGUAUUCUGCGCUCAUGAGGAAUAAGACUUGGCAUCUUGUACCAAAUCAGAGAGGUAAAAAUAUUAUUGAU
rnacentral:rRNA from 1 species